rnacentral:rRNA from 1 species
GUACGGGAGGCAGCAGUGGGGAAUCUUGGACAAUGGGGGCAACCCUGAUCCAGCGACGCCGCGUGGGUGAUGAAGGCCUUCGGGUUGUAAAGCCCUUUCGCCGGGGACGAUGAUGACGGUACCCGGAGAAGAAGCACCGGCUAACUCCGUGCCAGCAGCCGCGGUAAGACGGAGGGUGCUAGCGUUGUUCGGAAUCACUGGGCGUAAAGGGCGCGUAGGCGGCCUUGCAAGUCGGUUGGUGAAAGCCCGGGGCUCAACCCCGGAGGUGCGGCCGAGACUGCAGGGCUGGAGGCCGGAAGAGGAGGGUGGAAUACCCAGUGUAGAGGUGAAAUUCGUAGAUAUUGGGUGGAACACCGGUGGCGAAAGCGGCUCUCUGGUCCGGACCUGACGCUGAGGCGCGAAAGCGUGGGGAGCAAACAGGAUUAGAUACCCCGGUAGC